UACGUAGGGGGCUAGCGUUGUUCGGAAUUACUGGGCGUAAAGGGCUCGUAGGUGGCCAACUAAGUCAGACGUGAAAUCCCCAGGCUCAACUUGGGAACUGCGUCUGAUACUGGAUGGCUUGAAUUCGGGAGAGGGAUGCAGAAUUCCAGGUGUAGCAGUGAAAUGCGUAGAUAUCUGGAGGAACACCGGUGGCGAAGGCGGCAUCCUGGACCGAGAUUGACGCUGAUGCGCGAAAGCCAGGGGAGCAAACGGG
rnacentral:rRNA from 1 species